UGCGGGAGCAGGCAGCAAAGACCGAGAUCACACGCCCGCAGCCGGCCUGCGCAAGCGCAUUGCGGAAGCCGGCCCUGCGCCCUCCGCCCCCGCGGGGAUUUAAAGGGCCAGCUGCCGGGGGCCCUACCGGGCUGCCCCAGGGUCCUCUCUGCACGCUGGGCGAGGAGCCGGCCACCCCAGGGCAGGCGGGAGUGACGCGCCAGGCCCAGGCGGGGAGCGGCCGCCCCCUCAGCCUGGACGCGUAGGGCUAGUCCGGGGCGGGUGGGCUGGAUUCUCUGGAUCGCGGACAUUCCAGGGGAGAUAAACGACGCGGGCGGGCAGGCGAAGCGGCUGCUUGCCCUGCGCCCCCGCCGGGAUCUCGCCUGCCCCGGGCUGGGGGAUUCCAGCGGGAGCUCGGGAGCGGACGCUCCAGCCCUAGGCCCGUUAUGGAGGCCGGGACUCUCCUGAGCGGCGCAGCCUCGGUGGCCGCGGUGCUGCCAGCGGGCGGGAGCGGGGAGCGCCUGGGGAGCGCCACCCCGAAGCAGUUUUGCGCCCUGUUGGGCAGGCCGCUCAUCAGCUACACGGUGCGGGCGCUGGAGAGAAUAAACUGGAUCUCAGAUAUUGUUGUGGUGGUGUCUCUAGAGAACAUUGAAACAAUGAAGUCUAUCAUUGAAAAAUAUGGCCACAAACGAAUUACGGUUGUAGAAGGUGGAAUGACUCGCCACCGGUCAAUUUUCAAUGGACUGAAAAUCUUUCCAGAGAGCAAGCUUUCCAGCUGUUCACUCCAGAAACCAGAAGUAGUGAUUAUCCAUGAUGCUGUGAGGCCGUUUGUCGAGGAAGAUAUUCUUCUUAAAGUGGUUUUGGCUGCGAAAGAACAUGGGGCAGCAGGAGCAAUCCGUCCUCUCGUCUCUACUGUUGUUGCUUCCUCUGCAGAUGGUUCUUUAGACCAUUCACUAGAACGUGCCAGGUACAGAGCAAGUGAAAUGCCUCAGGCUUUCCUAUUUGAUAUAAUCUAUCAAGCAUAUCAUCAGUGUAGUGAUUAUGACCUGGAUUAUGGGACAGAAUGUUUGCACUUGGCUCUAAAAUACUGUAAAACAAAUGCCAAACUUAUUGAAGGAUCGCCUGACCUCUGGAAGGUGACCUACAAACGGGAUCUGUAUGCUGCUGAAUCAAUUAUUAAGGACAAUCUAUCACAACAAGUUUGUGUUACCACUGAUAUGAAAGAAGAUGCUGUGCAGUUUGGUUUUCUCCUUCAUGAAACUCUGAAAAGCGAAGUAAAACAGGUUAAAGGCAUAUCAGUGUUUCUAUGUAAAAAUGAUAAUCAUCUACAGAACAUCUUUUUAGGACAAUGCUACAAUUUUAUUUGCAUAAAUGCUGAAAAAUCUGACGUUAAAGAAACCCAGCAACUAGUUGAUAUACUUGAAAAUUCAAGAAUUUCUGUCUUGCAUCCAGUUGUUCUCAUUUCGGUUUCAUGGUGUCUAGUCCUAGUUGGAUUUUUAGUUCCCACUGCUUUAUUAUGCCCUAUUCAUUCUGGUGAUGCUGUGGAUUGCAUUGAGCUCUGUAAGAGUGUGGAACCAGCCAAUCGGGUGUCAGGUCCAUUUGAAUGUUUCAGAAAAUAUGUCUUUCAGCAGUGGAAUGGAAGAACUGGCUGGGAUAAAGGAAUUUGCAAGGGAAGUGAAAAAGAAAAAUAUUUUGGUUUAUGGUCUUCUCAUCCAUUACAAUAAGGGCCUGAUGCUGCAAAGUGCAGAGAACUGUGCUUAGGGCACUCAACUCCCACUGAAACUAUCUGUCUAGGGCAUUUUGCGGCACCAAACCCUUAACGGAUGAUCCAAAGCUUCAGGAGAC